rnacentral:rRNA from 1 species
AUCCAACCUGCCGUCUACUCUUGGACAGCCUUCUGAAAGGAAGAUUAAUACAAGAUGGCAUCAUGAGUCCGCAUGUUCACAUGAUUAAAGGUAUUCCGGUAGACGAUGGGGAUGCGUUCCAUUAGAUAGUAGGCGGGGUAACGGCCCACCUAGUCUUCGAUGGAUAGGGGUUCUGAGAGGAAGGUCCCCCACAUUGGAACUGAGACACGGUCCAAACUCCUACGGGAGGCAGCAGUGAGGAAUAUUGGUCAAUGGGCGAGAGCCUGAACCAGCCAAGUAGCGUGAAGGAUGACUGCCCUAUGGGUUGUAAACUUCUUUUAUGAAGGAAUAAAGUCGGGUAUGGAUACCCGUUUGCAUGUACUUUAUGAAUAAGGAUCGGCUAACUCCGUGCCAGCAGCCGCGGUAAUACGGAGGAUCCGAGCGUUAUCCGGAUUUAUUGGGUUUAAAGGGAGCGUAGAUGGAUGUUUAAGUCAGUUGUGAAAGUUCGCGGCUCAACCGUAAAAUUGCAGUUGAUACUGGAUAUCUUGAGUGCAGUUGAGGCAGGCGGAAUUCGUGGUGUAGCGGUGAAAUGCUUAGAUAUCACGAAGAACUCCGAUUGCGAAGGCAGCCUGCUAAGCUGCAACUGACAUUGAGGCUCGAAAGUGUGGGUAUCAAACAGGAUUAGAUACCCUGGUAGUCCACACGGUAAACGAUGAAUACUCGCUGUUUGCGAUAUACUGCAAGCGGCCAAGCGAAAGCGUUAAGUAUUCCACCUGGGGAGUAC